rnacentral:rRNA from 1 species
AAUCAACGCUGGCGGCGUGCCUAACACAUGCAAGUCGAACGAGAAAGUCCCGCAAGGGGAUGAGUACAGUGGCGACCGGGUGAGUAAUACGUGGACAACCUACCAUCGAGUGGGGAAUAACCCUGGGAAACCGGGGCUAAUACCGCAUAACACCCAGGGGCUUUGGCCCCGGGGUUGAAACCCGCAAGGGGCUCGUUGAGGGGUCCGCGUCCGAUUAGCUAGUUGGUGAGGUAACGGCCCACCAAGGCUUUGAUCGGUAGCCGGCCUAAGAGGGCGGACGGCCACACUGGAACUGAAACACGGUCCAGACUCCUACGGGAGGCAGCAGUGGGGAAUUUUGCGCAAUGGGGGAAACCCUGACGCAGCAACGCCGCGUGGACGAUGAAGCCCCUUGGGGUGUAAAGUCCUUUCGGCAGGGAAGAAUCCGGAGCAAUCCGG